rnacentral:rRNA from 1 species
CCUACGGGAGGCAGCAGUGAGGAAUAUUGGUCAAUGGGCGUAAGCCUGAACCAGCCAAGUCGCGUGAGGGAUGAAGGUUCUAUGGAUCGUAAACCUCUUUUAUACGGGAAUAAAGUGUGGGACGUGUCCUGUUUUGUAUGUACCUUAUGAAUAAGGAUCGGCUAACUCCGUUCCAGCCGCCGCGGUAAUACGGAGGAUCCGAGCGUUAUCCGGAUUUAUUGGGUUUAAAGGGUGCGUAGGCGGCCUUUUAAGUCAGCGGUGAAAGUCUGUGGCUCAACCAGCGAAUUGCCAUUGAAACUGGGAGGCUUGAGUAGGUUUGAGGCAGGCGGAAUGCGUGGUGUAGCGGUGAAAUGCUUAGAUAUCACGCAGAACCCCGAUUGCGAAGGCAGCCUGCCAAGCCAUGACUGACGCUGAUGCACGAAAGCGUGGGGAUCAAACAGGAUUAGAUACCCUGGUAGUC